AUUUUCUACUGGAAAAAAUGGGGAUUUUCUACUGGAAAAAUGGGGAUUUUAUACUGGAAAAAUGGGGAUUUUCUACUGGAAAAAUGGGGAUUUUAUGCUGGAAAAAAUGGGGAUUUUAUACUGGAAAAAAUGGGGAUUUUAUACUGGAAAAAUGGGGAUUUUAUACUGGAAAAAAUGGGGAUAUAUACUGGAAAAAAUGGGGAUUUUCUACUGGAAAAAUGGGAGUUUUAUACUGGAAAAAAUGGGGAUUUUCUACUGGAAAAAUGGGAAUUUUCUACUGGAAAAAUGGGGAUUUUAUACUGGAAAAAAUGGGGAUUUUCUACUGGAAAAAAUGGGGAUUUUCUACUGGAAAAAUGGGAAUUUUCUACUGGAAAAAUGGGAAUUUUAUACUGGAAAAAAUGGGGAUUUUAUGCUGGAAAAAAUGGGGAUUUUCUACUGGAAAAAAUGGGAAUUUUAUACUGGAAAAAUGGGGAUUUUACACUGGAAAAAAUGGGAAUUUUAUACUGAAAAAUGGGGAUUUUAUACUGGAAAAAUGGGAAUUUUAUACUGGAAAAAUGGGGAUUUUAUACUGGAAAAAAUGGGGAUUUUAUGCUGGAAAAAUGGGAGUUUUCUACUGGAAAAAUGGGGAUUUUCUACUGGAAAAAUGGGAGUUUUCUACUGGAAAAAAUGGGGAUUUUCUACUGGAAAAAAUGGGGAUUUCCUACUGGAAAAAUGGGAAUUUUAUACUGAAAAAUGGGAAUUUUAUACUGAAAAAUGGGGAUUUUCUAUUGGAAAAAUGGGGAUUUUAUACUGGAAAAAUGGGGAUUUUAUACUGGAAAAAUGGGAUUUUUCUACUGGAAAAAAUGGGGAUUUUCUACUGGAAAAAUGGGGAUUUUAUACUGGAAAAAAUGGGGAUUUUAUGCUGGAAAAAAUGGGAAUUUUAUACUGAAAAAUGGGGAUUUUAUACUGGAAAAAUGGGGAUUUUCUACUGGAAAAAAUGGGAAUUUUCUACUGGAAAAAUGGGGAUUUUNNNNNNNNNNNNNNNNNNNNNNNNN
rnacentral:lncRNA from 1 species